UGGCGAUGAGGAGACUCCUAUUGUGUUGAAUUACAAUGAUAGGUUUAUACGCUAUUCUGAGCCAGCA
rnacentral:snoRNA from 13 species